rnacentral:misc_RNA from 1 species
AAAAUGCGAUACUUGGUGUGAAUUGCAGAAUCCCGUGAACCAUCGAGUUUUUGAACGCAAGUUGCGCCCGAAGCCUUUUGGCCGAGGGCACGUCUGCCUGGGCGUCACGCAUCGCGUCGCCCCCCACAAUUCUCUGUAAAAGGGAACUCGUGUUUUGGGGGCGGAUAUUGGUCUCCUUCCAUCACA